AGAGACUGAUUCUGGUUGCUGUCGAGUGGCAUAUACUGUGACAUGAUAGCCAUGAUCUCCGAGUCCAUAAUAUGUAACCAGCUACUCCGGCACCCAAUGCCACGGCCACCACCACCAAGGUAAGAAUUCCCCCCAGUUUAGAGCUGUUCCUUUCUGUACAUUCAUUUAUUCACACAAAACAUAUAAAUAGGAAGAAACUAAAAUUCCUGAUGAUGAUGAUGAGUAUUGAAGAAUCAAGAAUAUGAAAACUUACCGA